rnacentral:precursor_RNA from 1 species
GCACAGGGCGCCCGCCCAGCACCCCCGGGCCCGCCCCCGCGG